rnacentral:lncRNA from 1 species
CAAGAGACCCAGAAAAUGGAGGGAACAAAUUAAUGAAGUGGACCAUCUGCUAACUAUGAAGUGCUAUCCCACAUCCAGAGAUGAAUCUGCCGGAGACUGCAAAAGGAAAAAAGUACUCCCAAGACCAGAAGUAUUGAAUAACCAGCUAAAAUGAAAGGGAAGAAAAAAAGGGGGAGGAGAAAGAUGGAGCCACUUUCCUAAAAUCGACUCAGUUGAAUAAAACCUCUUUCCAAAUAUUUCUUACUUCUAGC